AAAAAACCAUACACCUAAAGAGCACCUAUCUUCCAAAGCCAGGAAGAAUAGGCCUUCGACAACCAUGAAUCAUCUAAUUACAAAGUAAUCUAUGUAGUAAACUAUGACAACCUCUAGCUUUCCUAGAGUUCUGAAGUAUUUCUAUUCUAUCUACAACCUCUCUUUUAAUUUGUGCCGAAACUAAGUCAGUAUUAAUUUACAUUGGUCCCCCAAAAAUCAUCCAGUUUCUAGCUCUCCAUACGUGAUAUACCACUGCUCCCAGAUAGCUGCAAUUAACUCCUUUUGAAAUUGUUGCCAUUUCCUUCUCUUUACUCCUUCACGAACCUUGUGAACUUCUCCUUGUCGUAUAGUAUUUCCUGUCCAUUGUUGAAUCCCUUAUCGUACCACUCCUAUCCAGUCACAUUCUGCAAAUAAAUGCAGAGAAGGCUCCACAGCUUGGCUUGAACAAAGACAGCAGUAUCAUCUUCUACUAGGAUAUGUAUGUGCCUCCAUAUGGCCUUAGUAAGCGGUCUGCCGGCCCUGUACAUCCUACAAAACUAUGAAUCUGUGCUUUGGUUGGUCCAGUGCAAUCCCGAUUAGUUUUGCUAUUUUUCAGUCUUCCAGGACAGCUGCUUUGAGUACAUAGUGGUGAUCCUGUAAGAGAUUUUAUCAACUAGAUGAAAUUCCAAUUUAUUCUACUUCUUGGAUGAGAGAGGCAGACCUUUUUAGUUGGUGGGAUGGCUUAAUAAUUAAUUUUUACUUUAAUGCCAUCCUUUUUUGAGGGAUAAUUGCUUGUCCGUGUGUGUAAUUUUGAGGUAAGGUCAAGUCCCCUCUUGUUCUCUUUCUCAUGAAUACAAUUACACCCAGAUCAUCAGAAAAAAUUAUAAUAAAAAGAAGAAAAAAAAGUUUUACUUGUUUGCACAUAGGGUGUGCAAAGUCCGGAAGGGCACACAUGCACUUUAAAGUUCUGGAUAAGUAUUCCAUGACUAAGACAAAUAGGAGGGAAGACAUAGGAUCCCCUGUCUAAGUCCUAUUUUUCCUUCAAAGUAGCCAUGACCUUCUACAUUCACUUUUAUGGUAAAAGUUGAAGAGGUCACACAUGUCAUCACUAAAUGGAGAAUCUUUCAUAACCAUACCCCUUUUGUACUUCCUGUAGGAACUCCCAGCUUACCAUGUCAUAGGUUUUGUCGAUCUUCAUCAAACAUCUUGGCAUAAUUUUUCUCCCAUAGUGUCUCAAGAAGUCAUGGCAAAUCAAUAUAUUGUGUACCAUGGAUCGACCUUGUACAAAGGCAAAUUGAUUUUCAACCACAAUGAUGUUUAUAGCCUCUUUUAAGAAAGAACAAAAAUAAAAGAACAAAAAAAUAAAAAUACAAAAAAAUAUACAAUUGGGGCAACUAAAUAAAUUUUUAGAUAAGUUUGGUUGAGAUUUCUUUAUUUUGGUUGAGUUUUAUGGAUUGUAUUUGGGCUGCUUAACGGGUCAAAAUGAACUAUAAAAAAUAAUGGGUUAACUUGGGCUCAAUCGAUAUUGACCCAUGAGCUAAUAUGUUUGUAGCCCAAUCCAUUAAUCUUUGGGCGAGUUGGAUGAGUUUGGGUUCAAAUUGCCACCUCUAGUAGUAGUCCACAAAGAUACUAGCAAUUAUAUCGAGAUCAUUCUGCCAAUUACCUGCUGCAUCCUUCAACUGAGUGGUUUCCUGCUUCAAUCUUCUAUGUUUUAUUACCAAGUAGAAGUACUUGGUAUUGUCGUUGUGACGCCCACCUUUUCGCUUUACGGGGAGUCCGUGUUUUGACAUUUAUUGGAAACCUUUUGAGAUCUGGAUAUUUGAAGAGUUGCCACCUAAUAAAUUAUGGUACAUUAGGACACCUUGAGAAAUUAACUCAUGCAUUGGUUUGCAUGACCAGAGAUUAGGGUAAGGGCUCGAAAUAACCUUGAGGGGAAGGUGUUAGGCAUCCGUCGCGGUCCCCAACGGUGGGUCUAACCGAACUUAAACUUAUGUGAAUUAGUCAUUUUAACAAAUAAAUAGUUUUAACGCAUACUCGCAAAUAAAGACAUGUCUUGACAUUCUAGGCGCAUGUAUGAGUCAAGUAAUGAAAACAAGGGAAAAGGUUUGAAUAAUUUGCACAUAUGUAAAGAAAAGUAAAUUCAUUUAAACAACAGGAGUUGGGAAAGAAGGGUAAUCACUUCUCAAUGAGGGGCUACACGCGACAUUAGCGUGUAGUACUCACAUACCUACUACCUAAUCCCCUUCUCUUGAUCAUAGCCUAAAGGUUUCUAUCAACCUUGAAGAAUAUCCUAUGCUUGCACUACCCGUCCCAUUCUCGUGGCCCUGAAGGUAUUUAGGACCUCUAAUUUAUGUAGUUCUAGACCAUCCUAAGGUACUUAAAGGAGAAAAAUCUAGGCGCCAAUCAAAACAGUUAGGACUGUAUAACAAUUAAAGGCUCACAUUUUACCUCCACAAGCAAAACAAAUAAGUGCACGUCUCAAAUAACAGUUUUAGGGAUUUAAGAGAAAAUCUUAGAACAUGAUAUCUAGGCGAGUAGAGCAUAUACAGUAUCGAAUUAGGACCAAAGUAUUAAAUAACUAAAUUCUAACAUUUGCCUACUGAUUCUUUUAAACCUGUUGAAUCUGAGCAGUCUCAAAUAACAAGGCGCAGUUUUAUAGUUACGGGAUUUUUAGUCGCCCUACAGGCUUGCCUAGGCGUAUAACAGUGAUGUCCUAUGAGCAUAAUAUCUAUUAUUGAUUAGGAAUGCAAUGAAACAGUAAAUAAUUUAUAAACGGCAAUUUGAAUCCUGCAGGCAUGCCCUCUGGUAGUAUUAAUUAAGGUAGCGUUGAAAACUUGUUAGAAAAACUGACAGAUUAGUUAAUUAAACCGAUUCAAUAUUUAUAAGCAUAAGUAAAAAUUGAUUUUCUUUUAGAUCUACCUAAACUGGUUUUAGGUCCUAUAUGCAUGAUUUCUAAUUAAACAUAAGGUGAAGCAAGCGGAAUUUAUUUAACCAAAGUCAAAUCCCUACAGGCGUGAUUUCUAUUAAAGCUGAUUUUAACUCCUCUAGGCAUAGUAUCUAAUUAUUAAAAGCUAAAUUUGAUCUUAUUCUAAUUAUAUGAAAGUAAAGCAGAUCCUAUAGGCAUUUUAUCUAACCAACAUAUUUACAUCAAACAAGCUCAUAUAAGCAUGUUAUCUAACAAAACACACUUGAACUGAAAUGGACCAUAUAGUCAUGUUAUCUACCCAAAUUUACCUAUAAUAUGUGACUGCCCACCCUUUUCACUAAUCUCCCCAAUAUUUAUUUACAAAUAAUUAUUACAGAUCAAGAAUUGAAUAAAUUACAUAAAUAUAAAUAUGCAUUAAUCUAUAGGGAGCCUGAAGUAGGCCCAAAGAAGUUUUCAAGCAUUCACUAGCCUUAAAUGUCCAAAGUUCCAUAGCCAGUUUCAUGUCUAGGUGUGUCAGAGUUCUCCAAGGAUCUCAAGGAUCCCGUGCAGUACUCACACCUAGACCUUUCUCAAAUAAUAACUGAUUUAUGUGCAGUGUGAAAGUGUCAUCCCUAAUAUGCCAGAGUUCAGAGAGAUCUCAAGGCUCUCUAAUAAUUACACAUACCGGGGGGCAUGACUUAAUAAUCAAGGAGUAAGUAAAAGUGCAUAAUGGUUUGAAAGUGCUUAAUAGACAUCAUAAAGAAAGUUCUUAGUAGUGAAAAUAAUUUCUGAAAACCAUUACUAACUUAGUGAUAAAACAAUUUGAGGAAAGCAUGAAUAACAAUCUGCAAUCAGAACACAAGUCAUAGGACAAAAAGGCUUCAGGAAGUACUCUGACAAACAGCUUUCACACAAAGAAAGAGGGGUUGGGAAUACAGAGAAUACUCCUUAAUGGAGCACAUAAACAACAUGAUGUAUAAAACUCUUAAGUGAUUCUAUAGAACUAGCAGGUUAGAUAGAAUACAGGUCAUGCAGCAAAGAUCACAACAGAAAAAUGUUGAAGACAUCUAAGCCACAGAUAGAGUCACUCUAGGGAGAUUAAAUAACUUAGCAGGAGUGAGGCAGAACAGGCAAGGACUUAUGCUAGGCAAGUAUUAACUAAGUGAAGGCAUGCUAAUUACACAAAAGCAGAGUUUAGGAAUGCUAGAUAAAUAGUAGUUAUUCAAACACACUUAGUUACAUAUAGAUACAUUAAACAAGAUAGUAAACAAGAAAGCAUAGUGAAAACAUGCUAAUCACAUAUUUGAAUAUGCAGUAUUUGUCAUGCUGAGUAAGCAGUAAACAAAAGCAAGGAUGGAUUCUGGCCAUAUAAACUAAUGCAGUAAAUAAACACAUAGGUCUAGGUUCUUAAAAAUUAAUCAGAAGCAUACCUAGUUAAAGAAAACACAAUAUGUGAGAAAGGUAUAGUGCAAUUUCCCGCAUUGGUUUGUAGCCGGCUAGAACUACAGAGAUCACAAAUAGCAAAUAGAGCAGAGAGAGCCCUUUUUAUAACGUAAAAGUGGUAAUGUUUGAACGUUUUUGAAGUGAGAAUAGGUAAGGGCAUAUAUAAUAAUCAAGAGUUAAACAACAUAAGUUAAAGAAUCAAUCGUGUAGCAAUUAGGGAAAUACACAAAAUCAGUCACACACAUAAAAUCAGUAAAAAAUUCCCCUUAAUCAUGGGAUAACGGUGAAAGCAGGAUAGAUAUUUAAGGAGGAAAAUCAAGUAAGACUUGGUUACAUAGUAGGUAACUAGGGGUGAAUAAAUAAGAUUUCAAUUAAGGAAACAAUUAGUAAGAAAUGACAACUAACAUCGUUGAUUCAAAUUAGCUAAGAGGAAACUAAUUAAGGCAAGAAGUUCAAUAAAACCGAGUAGAGAAGUAAGAAUCACAGAUUUUGUUAAGGAAAAGAGCUCAAAUCAAAACAAAAAUUAGAACUUCACAAUAGUCAAGGGUUUAAUCAAACGAUAAAAUCACGUAAAGAGUCAGCAAAUAUCACAGACAAUUCAAAUAGGAAAGAAAAGAAUAGUCAGGAUUCAACACAUAGGUUUUAACAAAACUAAUUGGUAAAUCAAGAAUUCAAAACAACCUGUUUUAAGGAGAAAAAUGUAGGUUUACCCUGAAUAGCCAGGAUGAACAUAGACAUAUAGAAUCAGUAGAAAAGUUUAACCAAGAAACUUAGUAGAUGUAUAUUAGGCUUAAAAAAUCAUAAGACAUCUAAUUGGCUAAAGAAAAAUCACAAGAACCACAACAAGGACAAAGUCAGUACACAAGUAACUUAGAAACCAAACAAAAAUGUCGAAAAAUUAGGCUUUUAGUAUAAACGAGUUAAGGUUAGUGAAAACCUUAAGAAAUCGGUUAGAAUGUAUAAGAGAUAGAGGAUUAACACUCAAAAUUAUUUAAUGUUUUGGAAAAAAAAUUCUGGAAAAUCCUAGUUUAGAAAAAUGGAAAACCAUUCGAAAAUCAGAGGGUUCAUGUAAAAUCAUAAGGUUAUUGCAAAACUUAUACGAAAUAGGUUCGAUCUAUCUCAGAUCUUGCACAGAUCUGAGAAGUUCAAAGAACAAAAAUUUGGGCUUUGAGAAGAACAACACAGAGGUGAAGAAUCAAGCUUAGAAACCCAUCGACCUAAGGCGAUAUAGGAAGAUCUUACUCGGAAUCAAACCAAAAUAGUCCGAAACAUGCGAAAAAGGGCCAUAGAUUCGAGUAAACUAACCAUUGUCCCUUGAGGAUCCUGGAGACGGUGAUACCAGUACAUGAGAGGCUAUUAGAGAUAUGGGGAUGGUGAUAAAAAUAGCCAUAGAUGAGUCGGCGAGGUACGAUUAGAGUUAGGUUUUGAGAGCAUUGGAGAGAAAAAGGAUUUCAGGGCGGCUAUUAGUGAGAAAUGUCC
rnacentral:lncRNA from 1 species